GAUGAACGCUGGCGGCGUGCCUAAUACAUGCAAGUCGAGCGAACAGACGAGGAGCUUGCUCCUCUGACGUUAGCGGCGGACGGGUGAGUAACACGUGGAUAACCUACCUAUAAGACUGGGAUAACUUCGGGAAACCGGAGCUAAUACCGGAUAAUAUCUUGAACCGCAUGAUUCAAUAGUGAAAGACGGUUUUGUUGUCUCUUAUAGAUGGCUCCGCGCCGAAUUAGCUAGUUGGUAAGUUAACGGGUUACCAAGGCAACGAUGCGUAGCCGACCUGAGAGGGGGAUCGGCCACACUGGAACUGAGACACGGUCCAGACUCCUACGGGAGGCAGCAGUAGGGAAUCUUCCGCAAUGGGCGAAAGCCUGACGGAGCAACGCCGCGUGAGUGAUGAAGGUCUUCGGAUCGUAAAACUCUGUUAUUAGGGAAGAACAAAUGUGGAAGUAACUAUGCACGUCGUGACGGUACCUAAUCAGAAAGCCACGGCUAACUACGUG
rnacentral:rRNA from 1 species